GUGUAACAUGUACUAAAUGGCAUAUAGAAUUUUGCUUUUAAGUAUUUCAUAUAAGCUCCAUAUUUAUUUGUAAUUUUUAAUUGUUUUUAAAAAAUAACAUAUACUUAGCUGGGCACAUGGUAGCACAUGCCUUUAAUUCCAGCACUUGGGAGGCAGAGACUGGUGGAUCUCUGAGAGUUUGAGGCCAGCCUGGUGUACAAAAAGAGUUCCAGGUCAACCAGGGCUGCAGAGUGAGACCCUGUCUAAAAAAAUAAAAGAAAAGAAAGAAAAGAAAAGCAUAUACUUAGAGCCAAGGAUGUUAAUAUAUGCCUGUAAACCUAGCACUUAAAAGACUACUUUUAAAAAUACUUAUUAUUUUUAUUUUAUGUGUAUGAAUGUUUUGCUUAUAUGAGUCACUUGCAUUCUUGGUGCCUGUGGAGGUAAAGGAAGGGUGUCAGAUAUCCUGAAACUAGAAUUACAGGUGUUUGUGAGCCACCAUGUAGGUGCUGGUCAUUAAACUUAGAUUCUAACCUCUGUGCCAUUACUCUAUGCCCAGGGCUAAUUUAAAGCCAGAUUGGCCUAGGUAGUAAACUCCAGGUCAUCCUUGGAUAAAAGGCAAGACCGUCUCAAAAAC
rnacentral:lncRNA from 1 species